rnacentral:sRNA from 1 species
AGAUAGAUAGAUAGAGAGGGAUGGAUGGAUGGACAGAUGGACAGGCAGAUAAAUGGAUAGACAGACAUGUGUAUAAGAAGAUAUUGGUUUAAAAUAUUGUGAAAUGCAUAUGAAUCUUCAAAAAUUGUCAAUUUUUAUUUUUUCAACAUAAGGUUCCUUAUGGAAAAGGUAGCAUGGAGACUUCUUUAACACUGAGAACCUUAGAACUGAAUAGACACAAAAUCACAAGGAACUUUAAAUUGUAAUGUGAUUUCCUGACAUAGAAUCAGAAACCUUCACACACUUCUGUGAAGCCAGACAUCUUUGAAGGAUACAGAGGACACACAGCUAUCAAUAUAUACAUCUUUAGGUAUCUGGAUCCAACCAUCAGGAGCUCUAAGCACUGACCCGCAAUGGCUGCCUGCCUCAGUUUGCACACCAGAUGGAUGCCAGUGCUGGUCUCUGUCAGGAAAGUACACAGAUUUCCUAAUGGUGCUUUCAACAUUAGUUCCUAUUAGAGUAUGUAACUGAAGAGGUAUCAGAGAUAACUCUUAUGUUUCUUUAACGUGAUAGAUGUUCCUCAUAUUUUUCUAAAUUUAGAAAUAUCUUGAACAUUGUGCCAUGUAAAGUAUUGAUUAUCGUUCAUGUGCAUGUUUUAACUUCUGCGAUUUAUUUAUUGACUUUUAAAGCUUCUAAUUUCAACACUAACUUCCAAACGGCAACAGAAGAAAAGUAAAACAACAUUAGUGGCAGAAGAAUAAUUUGGAUCAUGUGCGUUGGAAUAGAGGUACUGAACAGAACCACUCGAGUGGGAAGGGCCCAGGUCACCAUCAAGGAGACUAAAGCUGGGGUAGGAAGAGCAUGAGACGGUCUCAGAGGUAUUGGGCCUGUACUGGGAAGAUCUUUUCAGAUACCCCUGGAAUGCUCUGAACUCACAGGCGGGGGAUUUACAAGUGGGACUCUUUAUCCUGGUAGCUAGAUGUGGAAAUGGCACUUCCAAGUCCUAUUUGGGGAUGGCUUGCCCAGGGAGCUUGGCUCAGUGGAGUGUAGAAUGAAUGCCAACAUUAACAAUACUUCUGGUCCAAGUGCAAAUGUCUCCAUCAAGUUCUCAAAAAAUCCUUUUAUGGUCCAUCUGUUUGGACACACCCUGGUUCCAAACCUUGUUUUGCCUCAGGACCCACAUUCUUAGAAACUUGCUAGCUUGCUGAAGACUUGGCCUGCUUCUGCCUUCUGUUCUGCAACACUGACUGGAUGCUAAGAUUCAUUCUUUGGCUCUGUGACACUUGAGCCUUUGCAAAAUAUAUUAUGUUUAUUCACGCCCCCC